GGCGUGCCUAAUACAUGCAAGUCGAACGCUUCUUUCCUCCCGAGUGCUUGCACUCAAUUGGAAAGAGGAGUGGCGGACGGGUGAGUAACACGUGGGUAACCUACCCAUCAGAGGGGGAUAACACUUGGAAACAGGUGCUAAUACCGCAUAACAGUUUAUGCCGCAUGGCAUAAGAGUGAAAGGCGCUUUCGGGUGUCGCUGAUGGAUGGACCCGCGGUGCAUUAGCUAGUUGGUGAGGUAACGGCUCACCAGGGCCACGAUGCAUAGCCGACCUGAGAGGGUGAUCGGCCACACUGGGACUGAGACACGGCCCAGACUCCUACGGGAGGCAGCAUUAGGGAAUCUUCGGCAAUGGACGAAAGUCUGACCGAGCAACGCCGCGUGAGUGAAGAAGGUUUUCGGAUCGUAAAACUGUGUUGUUAGAGAAGUACAAGGCCGUUAGUAACUGAACGUCCCCUGACGGUAUCUAACCAGAAAGCCACGGCUAACUACGUGCCAGCAUCCGCGGUAAUACGUAGGUGGCAAGCGUUGUCCGGAUUUAUUGGGCGUAAAGCGAGCGCAGGCGGUUUGUUAAGUGUGAUGUGAAAGCCCCCGGCUCAACCGGGGAGGGUCAUUGGAAACUGGGAGACUUGAGUGCAGAAGAGGAGAGUGGAAUUCCAUGUGUAGCGGUGAAAUGCGUAGAUAUAUGGAGGAACACCAGUGGCGAAGGCGGCUCUCUGGUCUGUAACUGACGCUGAGGCUCGAAAGCGUGGGGAGCAAACACGGAUUAGAUACCCUGGUAGUCCACGCCGUAAACGAUGAGUGCUAAGUGUUGGAGGGUUUCCGCCCUUCAGUGCUGCAGCAAACGCAUUAAGCACUCCGCCUGGGGAGUACGACCGCAAGGUUGAAACUCAAAGGAAUUGACGGGGGGCCC
rnacentral:rRNA from 1 species